rnacentral:rRNA from 1 species
UACAGAGGGUGCGAGCGUUGUCCGGAAUCACUGGGCGUAAAGGGCGCGUAGGUGGCCUGAUAAGUAGGGGGUGAAAUCUCGAGGCUCAACCUCGAGGCUGCCUCCUAAACUGCCAGGCUUGAGCAGAGUAGAGGCAGGUGGAAUUCCCGGUGUAGCGGUGGAAUGCGUAGAGAUCGGGAAGAACAUCGGUGGCGAAGGCGGCCUGCUGGGCUCUUGCUGACACUGAGGCGCGACAGCGUGGGGAGCAAACAGGAUUAGAAACCCCGGUAGU